AGAUUUACAGCUUGACCAUUUAUUUAAUGAUAAACACUACUUCACCUAAGAGACUUGAGUAUCCAGUUCUUCGUUGACCUUCAGCAUUCAGUUGUUUGUCUUCACCUUUUCAGGUUUCCUGUGUCCAGCAUCUUCAAGACAGACUAAGCUAACUUUUCAUAUUUUUCGCACAUUUAUAUUUAGGUUAGGUUAGGAGUAGGUUAGGUUUAUAGUAGAGUAUUUAGUUUGUAUAGUUUAGCUUUUUAUGCUGGUCUAGGGACAGUUAAGUUAGCAAAUUAAUUUAGUUCAGAUCACUUACAGUUGCAUAUUAUUGUUACAAUUGUGUUAGUUGUGAGUUAUUGUUGUACAGGCUAUUGUAUAUUGCAGGACCAAGUGAGACGAGGAAGACCACUGCUUCCAAGAUGCCUCUCAGAAAGUGCGUUGGACAAGUCUCGACCUUGCAGAUCCUGCCCCACUUAGCCCAACCACUUCCGGCCAUGGGGUACCUCAAAGACCUCCGUCAACUAGCCGGCUGUGGAUGAUGGAUAACGCACCCACAACUCCUUCUCCAGUCUACAAGGUAUGGAUUUGUUUUUUUUCCCCAUCACAGUGGACACAGACAUGGCCUGAUAAUACAAUCUGCUGUCUUAACUACUUCCUUUGAAUAAUAAAAUAUUAAUUCACAAUUGAGUAUUUAUAAUGUAUGAAUAAAUUUGGUAUUGUGUGUCAUCAGGUUCUGAAAAUACAGACACCCCCACAGUCCAAGAAAAGCUGGAUGACCUCUGGAUCCACUAAAAAAUUCUUCAAUUGUUAAUUCUGCACAAAGUGAUACACAAAACAUUGUAUGUAUUCCAUUUCAACAAACCCAAACAUGAAAUGUAUAUUUAAAUACAUGACUUAAU